rnacentral:rRNA from 1 species
CUGAGUAAAGUGGCGCACGGGUGAGUAACACGUGACUAACCUACCCUUGAGUGGGGAAUAACUAGGAGAAAUCUUAGCUAAUACCGCAUAACACCUACGGGUCAAAGGAGCAAUUCGCUUAAGGAGGGGGUCGCGGCAGAUUAGUUAGUUGGCGGGGUAAUGGCCCACCAAGACAGUGAUCUGUAUCCGGCCUGAGAGGGCGCACGGACACACUGGAACUGAAACACGGUCCAGACUCCUACGGGAGGCAGCAGUGGGGAAUUUUGCGCAAUGGGGGAAACCCUGACGCAGCAACGCCGCGUGGAGGAUGAAGUCUCUUGGGACGUAAACUCCUUUCGAUCGGGACGAUAAUGACGGUACCGAGAGAAGAAGCCCCGGCUAACUUCGUGCCAGCAGCCGCGGUAAUACGAGGGGGGCGAGCGUUGUUCGGAAUUAUUGGGCGUAAAGGGUGCGUAGGCGGUUCGGUAAGUCUUGUGUGAAAUCUUCAGGCUCAACUUGAAGUCUGCACGAGAAACUGCCGGGCUUGAGUGUGGGAGAGGUGAGUGGAAUUUCCGGUGUAGCGGUGAAAUGCGUAGAUAUCGGAAGGAACACCUGUGGCGAAAGCGGCUCACUGGACCAUAACUGACGCUGA